AUUGAACGCUGGCGGCAGGCCUAACACAUGCAAGUCGAACGGUAACAGGAAGCAGCUUGCUGCUUUGCUGACGAGUGGCGGACGGGUGAGUAAUGUCUGGGAAACUGCCUGAUGGAGGGGGAUAACUACUGGAAACGGUAGCUAAUACCGCAUAACGUCGCAAGACCAAAGAGGGGGACCUUAGGGCCUCUUGCCAUCGGAUGCGCCCAGAUGGGAUUAGCUAGUAGGUGGGGUAACGGCUCACCUAGGCGACGAUCCCUAGCUGGUCUGAGAGGAUGACCAGCCACACGGGAACUGAGACACGGUCCAGGCUCCGAGGGGGGGCAGACGUGGAAAAUAUUGCACAAUGGGCGAAAGCCUGAUGCAGCCAUGCCGCGUGUAUGAAGAAGUCCUGCGGGUUGUAAAGUACUUUCGGCGGGGAGGAAGGGAGUAAAGUUAAUACCUUUGCUCAUUGACGUGCCCCGCAGAAGAAGCACCGGCUAACCCCG
rnacentral:rRNA from 1 species